rnacentral:rRNA from 1 species
GACGAACGCUGGCGGCGUGCUUAACACAUGCAAGUCGAACGGUGAAGGGACCGGUUUUUGCUGGUUCUGGAUGAGUGGCGAACGGGUGAGUAACACGUGAGUAACCUGCCCCCUUCUUCUGGAUAACCGCAUGAAAGUGUGGCUAAUACGGGAUAUUCUGCGCCUGCUGCAUGGUGGGUGUGGGAAAGAUAUUGUUUCGGUGGGGGAUGGGCUCGCGGCCUAUCAGCUUGUUGGUGGGGUGAUGGCCUACCAAGGCGGUGACGGGUAGCCGGCCUGAGAGGGUGGACGGUCACACUGGGACUGAGACACGGCCCAGACUCCUACGGGAGGCAGCAGUGGGGAAUAGUGCACAAUGGGCGCAAGCCUGAUGCAGCGACGCCGCGUGAGGGAUGGAAGCCUUCGGGUUGUAAACCUCUUUCGCCAGUGAAGCAGGCCUGUCCCCUUUGUGGGUGGGUUGACGGUAGCUGGAGAAGAAGCGCCGGCUAACUACGUG